GGUCGUUGGUGUGAUCUUGAUUGCUUUGGGAACCCUUUCCCAUUCCCUCCCUUAUCAGACACCUAUACAGGUGCCUAUACAGCCACCAAUUCCACCACCAACGCUGCCUCCUCCUCCCCCCCCUCCUCCUCCCAACUAUCCUUGUUACACUCAGUGGUUUGACCGUGAUGAUCCGGUUGGAUUGGGAGAUUAU